UACGUAGGGGGCAAGCGUUGUCCGGAUUUACUGGGCGUAAAGAGCGUGUAGGCGGCCAUGCAGGUCCGUUGUGAAAACUGGAGGCUCAACUUCCAGACGUCGACGGAAACCGCGUGGCUAGAGUCCGGAAGAGGAGAGUGGAAUUCCUGGUGUAGCGGUGAAAUGCGUAGAUAUCGGAAGGAACACCAGUGGCGAAAGCGACUUCCUGGUCCAAUACUGACGUUCAUGUGCGAAAGCGUGGGGAGCAAACAGG
rnacentral:rRNA from 1 species